rnacentral:rRNA from 1 species
AUUGAACGCUGGCGGCAUGCCUUACACAUGCAAGUCGAACGGCAGCACGGGAGCAAUCCUGGUGGCGAGUGGCGAACGGGUGAGUAAUGUAUCGGAACGUGCCCAGUCGUGGGGGAUAACGCAGCGAAAGCUGUGCUAAUACCGCAUACGAUCUAUGGAUGAAAGCGGGGGAUCGCAAGACCUCGCGCGAUUGGAGCGGCCGAUAUCAGAUUAGGUAGUUGGUGGGGUAAAGGCCCACCAAGCCGACGAUCUGUAGCUGGUCUGAGAGGACGACCAGACACACUAGAACUGAGACAGGGCCAAGACUCCUAGGGGAGGCAGCGGUGGGGAAUUUUGGAAAAGGGGCGCAAGCUGGAUCAAGCAAUGCCGCGUGCAGGAUGAAGGCCUUCGGGUUGUAAACUGCUUUUGUGCGGAACGAACCGGUUCUCUCUAAUACAGGGGGCUAAUGACGGUACCGUAAGAAUAAGCACCGGCUAACUACGUGCCAGCAGCCGCGGUAA